AUAAUGACAAGUCUUGGACAUUAGAUUAUUACGACGAGGAAUUUUCAUUUUGGCACAACUACGUCCGAACUCCUGUCUCAGGUCCUCGGUCCUCCAGAGUAGGAGUGUACCUGGAUCACAGAGCAGGAUCUCACUCAGAUCUGAAAAUGUGAAACUAAUCUGAGAGAAUAACUGAAGCAGUUUUCCUCCUGAAACACCACAAAGCACAUCGCUCCAAACUCCAGAAAAAUCAAUCUUCAUUUGAACAUAACGGGUUACUUCUGACCAGAAGGGGGCAGUAGAGUGACAGUGUCAGGAUACCAGAGGGAACAGCAUCCAUUACAUCAGCAAAUCCUUUUAGGAUAACAGGAAUGUCUGAAGACACUCAGCAUCAUUUAGAAGAUUUCCAUUUUCAUUUAGUGACUGUGAUACUAAAAUUAUCUGAUUAUCAAACCACACAUUAAAACAUAAUGAUUUAUUUUUGUGUCUAAUCUGCUGAUUGUUCCAAAUGAAGCAUCUAUGUGGAGAGAAGUUAUGUUUAUAAAUUCAUGACCACGC